GAUGAACGCUAGCGGGAGGCCUAACACAUGCAAGCCGAGCGGUAUUUGUUCUUCGGAACAGAGAGAGCGGCGCACGGGUGCGGAACACGUGUGCAACCUGCCUUUAUCUGGGGGAUAGCCUUUCGAAAGGAAGAUUAAUACCCCAUAAUAUAUUGAGUGGCAUCACUUGAUAUUGAAAACUCCGGUGGAUAGAGAUGGGCACGCGCAAGAUUAGAUAGUUGGUGAGGUAACGGCUCACCAAGUCAAUGAUCUUUAGGGGGCCUGAGAGGGUGAACCCCCACACUGGUACUGAGACACGGACCAGACUCCUACGGGAGGCAGCAGUGAGGAAUAUUGGACAAUGGGUUAGCGCCUGAUCCAGCCAUCCCGCGUGAAGGACGACGGCCCUAUGGGUUGUAAACUUCUUUUGUAUAGGGAUAAACCUACUCUCGUGAGAGUAGCUGAAGGUACUAUACGAAUAAGCACCGGCUAACUCCGUG
rnacentral:rRNA from 1 species